rnacentral:piRNA from 1 species
CAUCUAGGCAUUUGUCAUCCAUCGGUCU